rnacentral:lncRNA from 1 species
UUGAAUGAAUCUCAACAAUCUUAUCAUUAUCCCCGAACCCAAUAGAUGUAAUCAAUUCCAAUGAAUCUUCUAGUCUAUUUUCUUCAUAAAUACCUAAAAUCUUCUCCUCAUCUUGCAAUGUACCUAACUUGCAUAAUUCUCCUUCAAUAUCAUAUAAUCUUUUUCUUUCUUUUCUUUUAAAAUCAUCAACUUUCUUAUACAUAAUAUUUCCAUUCUCCAAAAUACCAAUAAAACUCGCAUCAAAGGCACCUUCAUCUCGCAAGAGUACCUCCUCUUUUGUACCUCUAUAAUCUCGCUUUAUAGUAGGACCUCUCCAAAAUCCUUAAAUCCUU